UACGUAGGGUGCGAGCGUUAAUCGGAAUUACUGGGCGUAAAGCGUGCGCAGGCGGUUCGUUAAGUCAGCUGUGAAAGCCCCGGGCUCAACCUGGGAAUUGCGGUUGAAACUGGCGGACUAGAAUCUGGCAGAGGGGGGUGGAAUUCCACGUGUAGCAGUGAAAUGCGUAGAGAUGUGGAGGAACACCGAUGGCGAAGGCAGCCCCCUGGGCUGAGAUUGACGCUCAUGCACGAAAGCGUGGGGAGCAAACAGG
rnacentral:rRNA from 1 species